rnacentral:rRNA from 1 species
CGGGCGGACGGGUGAGUAACGCGUGGACAACCUGCCCUAUGCAGGGGGAUAACAUCCGGAAACGGGUGCUAAUACCGCAUAAGCGCACAGUACCGCAUGGUACAGUGUGAAAAGCUGAGGCGGCAUAGGAUGGGUCCGCGUUGGAUUAGGCAGUUGGCGGGGUAACGGCCCACCAAACCGACGAUCCAUAGCCGGCCUGAGAGGGUGGACGGCCACAUUGGGACUGAGACACGGCCCAGACUCCUACGGAAGGCAGCAG